UACAGAGGUCUCAAGCGUUGUUCGGAUUCAUUGGGCGUAAAGGGUGCGUAGGCGGCGCGGUAAGUCGGGUGUGAAAUUUCGAGGCUUAACUUCGAAACUGCAUUCGAUACUGCCGUGCUAGAGGACUGGAGAGGAGACUGGAAUUCCCGGUGUAGCGGUGGAAUGCGUAGAGAUCGGGAAGAACAUCAGUGGCGAAGGCGGCCUGCUGGGCUGUUGCUGACGCUGAGGCGCGACAGCGUGGGGAGCAAACAGG
rnacentral:rRNA from 1 species